GCCAAGUUUUAAAAUGCCACCUGCGGGCAG
rnacentral:piRNA from 1 species